rnacentral:antisense_RNA from 1 species
AAAUCUGAGACAGCCUUGGUCUGAGGGAGCAAAGACAGAGAAUUCACGUGCUGCCCAGGCAUAGCCACAUAGCAGGUGGACAUCCCUGGACACUUUUCUGACAAAGCACGCAAUGUGGGGACAACACAGAAAUCCAAGAAAGGCAAGACCAAUUUCAAGGCACUAAAUAAGUGGACUGAGACAAGAAGUACACAGAUACUUCCCAGAACAAAACCCUCACUGGAUUUUCCUGGAAGUACGGAGAGUUACAUCCAGAGAACUCUGAACAUUUUGGAAGGACCCCAAUCCUGCAAACAAUGAAUGGCAAUAAAUCCUGGGACUGGAAAGGGGCUUCUCAACCCCAAGGCAACCAUAAAGUCCUAUACAAAGAAAGAUACAGCAGUGUGAAAGAGGCCUGGAUGAAAAAACAAAGACAGAGCCAGUGAGCCAGAGCCAGAGCCAGAGGACAAGAGAGAAAGGCAGAGAAUGGAAAACACAGACAGAGAAGGCAGAUGCAUAGAGAGACAGAGAUUCAAUGAGAAAAUAAGGAAGGAAGAAAGAAAACAAAAACAUUCUCAGCACUACAACUUCUGCCUUGUUCUGUUCCAGAACAGUAUGAGCUCAGUACUUUUUCAGACUCUCAAUUUUCUACAACUAA